AACGAUUUCUAAAGCCAAUUGUAUGGACACAUGCCCAUUCACCCCAGAUUAUUUUCUCGCUGGUUAUGAAAACGGAAAUAUACAUCUCUAUUCAAGAAUGAUAGAAACUCCUAUUAUGGUUCUCUCAGACAAAGAAAGCAGAAUUCAUGAAUGCAGUAUUGAACUCCUACAGUGGUCCAAAAAUAAACCUUUUUUGAUAUACACCAAAGACAAACGAAAUACAAUACACAUUUGGGAUUUGAGCGAGAGUGACAUGGUACCAAUAUAUUCUAUUCCAAUCGGAAAGGAAAUAACUUGCAUGACAUUGUCUCCUUCAACGAAACGUAGUGAAAUUGAGAAAUCUUACAUGAUGAUUGGCACGAAAGACGGAUCAUUAUUUUUACAUCGACUGAAUGACGAACAUGGUCAGCAACCCAAACAAAUAUUUGAAGAACACGUCAGGACGUUUUUGAAUUAUGUUAACAGAUUAUAAUAUAAAUGUUUGUCUAAUCUUAA